rnacentral:rRNA from 1 species
GUGGGGAAUAUUGGACAAUGGGCGCAAGCCUGAUCCAGCAAUGCCGCGUGGGUGAAGAAGGUCUUCGGAUCGUAAAGCCCUUUCGACAGGGACGAUGAUGACGGUACCUGUAGAAGAAGCCCCGGCUAACUUCGUGCCAGCAGCCGCGGUAAUACGAAGGGGGCUAGCGUUACUCGGAAUUACUGGGCGUAAAGGGCGCGUAGGCGGCUCUGUUAGUCAGGCGUGAAAUUCAUGGGCUUAACCUGGGGACUGCGCUUGAUACUGCAGGGCUUGAGGCCGAGAGAGGGUGGUGGAAUUCCCAGUGUAGAGGUGAAAUGCGUAGAUAUUGGGAAGAACACCGGUGGCGAAGGCGACCACCUGGCUCGGUUCUGACGCUGAGGCGCGACAGCGUGGGGAGCAAACAGGAUUAGAAACCCCGGUAGUCC